rnacentral:tRNA from 1 species
AAGGGAGACCUAAUUCGGGUAGGAGACGAAAAAAAAGUAGUCGCUACCAAGAAUCAAUCCCAAAAGGUCGGAGCGAGGUAUGAGGCUUUCAAACUAGGUUCUGGGUUCAAACAAGACCUGAAUCAGGAACAAGGGCUAUUAGCUCAGGUGGUUAGAGCGCACCCCUGAUAAGGGUGAGGUCCCUGGUUCGAGUCCAGGAUGGCCCACCUGCACAGGUGGCAAAAACAAGAGAAGCUCCGAAUCAGCACCUUAUCUUAUCUAUAUAUAAGAGAGAAUGCUGGCUCUGAGUACAGAGUCCAGAGGAACCUUGAAAACUGCAUAGAGCUAGGUGAAAAAGCCAAAAAAGAAGACCGCAA